CCCGCCCCUCACGCGCUGUCCGCGCGUCCCUUAGUCCCGCGGUGACUUUUGGUCUGGGGUCUUCUACCGUCGUCUCGGAUUCUUCUUCUGUAUAGCUGUGGGCGGUGCGUUAUUCCACAGGUGCUGCUGCGCCGAUGCUCCGUACGUUCGCAGUAACGGGUAGAGCGGAAGGCUCCGUGGCCGGGGAAGAGCGGCACGGACACGUUCCUGCUCGCUCCGUUGCACCGGAAUUUCGACGGCUGGGUUCGGCCGCUAAAUUGAUGGCGCUACCGGAAGAAAUUUCAGAAAAAAAGGGUGGCUUUUUCGUCGAUCUCUUUGUGAGAGUAUCAAAUCAGGCGGUGGUAAAUACGUAGAAGCAACUAGGCGUACUACGGCGUGUACCGGACAGCGUUGGCGUGCCGCUCUGCUAGCAGUGGAGAGCCAGAUGAGGAUGCCCGUGAUAUGAGAAAAGCUCUGUCCAGAGAUAUGGAGACGAAAUCAGUUGUACCUCACCCUGUGACACCGGAAGACAUUGAGUAACUCGUCCUGCAGCUGGCUCC